AGAGUUUGAUCAUGGCUCAGGACGAACGCUGGCGGCGUGCUUAACACAUGCAAGUCGAACGAGGACCAGGGUGCUUGCACCUUGUAGCCGAGUGGCGAACGGGUGAGUAACACGUGACCAACCUAGCCUAGAGUGGGGGACAACCUGGGGAAACCUGGGCUAAUACCACAUACAGCCCCGUGGUCGCAUGGCCGCGGGAUGAAAGGAGGCCUCUGCUUGCAAGCUUUCGCUCGAGGGGGGGGUCGCGGCGUAUCAGCUAGUUGGUGGGGUAUCGGCCUACCAAGGCGACGACGCGUAGCGGGUCUGAGAGGACGACCCGUCACAUUGGGACUGAGAUACGGCCCAGACUCCUACGGGAGGCAGCAGUGGGGAAUAUUGCGCAAUGGCCGAAAGGCUGACGCAGCGACGCCGCGUGUGGGAGGAGGCCCUUCGGGGUGUAAACCACUGUCAGAAGGGAAGAACCUCGGAUUUCUGAAUAGGGAGUCCGGUUGACGGUACCUUCAGAGGAAGCGCCGGCUAACUCCGUGCCAGCAGCCGCGGUAAGACGGAGGGCGCAAGCGUUGUUCGGAAUUACUGGGCGUAAAGCGCACGCAGGCGGUCCCUUAAGUCCUCUGUGAAAUUCCGGGGCUCAACCCCGGAGUGCAGGGGAUACUGUGGGACUGGAGACCGGUAGAGGCUAGCGGAAUUCCUGGUGUAGCGGUGGAAUGCGUAGAUAUCAGGAGGAACACCGGUGGCGAAAGCGGCUAGCUGGGCCGGUUCUGACGCUCAUGUGCGAAAGCGUGGGGAGCAAACAGGAUUAGAUACCCUGGUAGUCCACGCCGUAAACGAUGGGCACUAGAUGCCGGGCCUUUCGACA
rnacentral:rRNA from 1 species